rnacentral:piRNA from 1 species
UGGGCCUCCAAAACCAAACCACUACAAUU